rnacentral:rRNA from 1 species
AAGUAAAAUUCCAUGGAGGACCGAACCGACCUCCGUUGAAAAGGCGGCGGAUGAACUGUGGGUAGCGGAGAAAUUCCAAUCGAACCCGGAGAUAGCUGGUUCUCCCCGAAAUAGUUUUAGGACUAGCCUCAAGUUAGAUACCUGGAGGUAAAGCACUGAAUAGCCUAGCGGCCGAGAGGUUAGCGAAGCUUAUCAAACUCAGAAUGCCAGAGUAUUGAUGCUUGGGAGUCAGACAGUGUCAGAUAAAUGUCAUUGUCAAAAGGGAAACAGCCCAGAUCUACAGCUAAGGUCCCAAAGUCAGGUUAAGUGGAAAACGAUGUGAAGAUACGCAGACAACCAGGAUGUUGGCUCAGAAGCAGCCACUCAUUCAAAGAGUGCGUAAUAGCUCACUGGUCGAGCGUCUUUGCGCGGAGAAUUUAACGGGGCUAAACCUGACACCGAAGCUUAGGCAAUCCAGUAAUGGAUUGGGUAGGGGAGCGUUGUAUACGCGGAGAAACAGUAGCGUAAGCGGCUGUGGAGUGUAUAGAAGUGAGAAUGCCGGAAUGAGUAGCGCGAAUGCAGUGAGAAUCUGCAUGGCCGAAAGCCUCAGGUUUUUGGAGGAAGGUUCGUCCGCUCCAAGUUAGUCGGGAGCUAAGGUGAGGCCGGAAGGCGUAGCCGAUGCACAGACGGUAGAGAUUCCGUCACCACCAAAAGAGUUAAGCACAGGGACACAUUUGAAGUCUCAGAGCCGGGUGUUGGUUCCGGUAGAGAUCGAGGGAAAUUAGUACCGAAGUCUGAGAUGGAAGAUGGCGAGAAAAGCUGUGUGUAUUUCUGAGGUGCCCGUACCGCAAACCGACACAGGUAGGUAGGAAGAAGAUUCUAAGGCCAACGGGAGAAGGGUUGUUAAGGAACUCGGCAAAUUGACCCCGUAACUUCGGGAGAAGGGGUGCUCCAGAGAUGGAGCCGCAGAGAAUCGGCCCAAGCAACUGUUUACCAAAAACACAGGUUUGUGCUAAAUCGAAAGAUGACGUAUACGAGCUGACGCCUGCCCGGUGCUGGAAGGUUAAGAGGAGAUGUGCAAGCAUUGAAUCGAAGCCCCAGUGAACGGCGGCCGUAACUAUAACGGUCCUAAGGUAGCGAAAUUCCUUGUCAGGUAAGUUCUGACCCGCAUGAAAGGCGUAAUGAUUUGGGCACUGUCUCAACAGCCCGCCCGGCGAAAUUGUAGUACCGGUGAAGAUGCCGGUUACCCGCGACAAGACGGAAAGACCCCAUGGAGCUUUACUGUAGCCUAAUAUUGGGUUUCGAUGUUGCAUGCACAGGAUAGAUGGGACACUAGGAAACAAUCGCUUUGGCGGUUGCGGAGUGGCCGUUGGGAUACCAUCCUUGCGAUAUUGGAAUUCUAACCUGCGGCUCUGAAUCGAGUCGGGGGACAUUGUUAGGUGGGCAGUUUGACUGGGGCGGUCGCCUCCUAAAAAGUAACGGAGGCGUUCAAAGGUUCGCUCAGCUUGAACGGAAAUCAAGCAAAAGAGUGCAAACGCAGAAGCGAGCCUAACUGCGAGACUGACGGGUCGAGCAGUAACGAAAGUUGGAGUUAGUGAUCCGGUGGUAUGUGAGUGGAAAUGCCAUCGCUCAACGGAUAAAAGUUACCCUGGGGAUAACAGGCUGAUCUCCCCCAAGAGUCCACAUCGACGGGGAGGUUUGGCACCUCGAUGUCGGCUCAUCGCAUCCUGGGGCUGUAUUCGGUCCCAAGGGUUUGGCUGUUCGCCAAUUAAAGCGGUACGCGAGCUGGGUUCAGAACGUCGUGAGACAGUUCGGUCCCUAUCUGUCGUGGGCGCAGGAUAUUUGAUGGGAGCUGUCCCUAGUACGAGAGGACCGGGACGGACGUACCUCUGGCGCACCAGUUGUUCCGCCAGGAGCAUAGCUGGGCAACUACGUACGGAUCGGAUAAACGCUGAAAGCAUCUAAGCGUGAAGCCGACCCAAAGAUAAGAUAUCCCAUUGUUUUAAACAAGUAAGACCCCUUGAAGACUACAAGGUUGAUAGGCACGAUGUGUAAGUGGAGCGAUCCAUUCAGCAAGCGUGUACUAAUAGGUCGAGGGCUUGACCAC